rnacentral:lncRNA from 1 species
UUGAACAUGAAGGCUGCGGAUGGUUCCAUAUGGGACUGCUCUGGAAGAGUUUGCAAAGGUUAGGGUCAGCUGAGAACGCUCAACAUCAGCAAUACCCAAAUCGUCUACAAUAGCCUUUGAGACGAGAUUCACACAAGAACCAGAGUCACACAGAGCAUCCUUGAAGGUUGUUCCUGCGAUGGAGCAUGGGAAAACAAAC